rfam:Candidatus Burkholderia humilis strain TZHbot5 BHTMctg73, whole genome shotgun sequence.
GUCGUCGCGAGGCGGGGUCUGAAGGAAGCGUGUAGCAAAGCCCAGCAAUGUCCCGCCUGAAUGUAGCUUUGUGCCUUUGCCACGGCCUGAUGCGCCGAGCGUCCUGGGCGGAAGCCAUAACU